GUCAGCACCCUGCACUAAAGUAGUAGGGCUUCAUGCCCCAAAUUUUAGUUAGCUGACCAGUCUAAGUUCUUAACUGAACUACGUUUAGAGCAAGUGCUAAAGUUCAUUCACACCUACGAAUGUAUGAA
rnacentral:sRNA from 18 species